rnacentral:rRNA from 1 species
GGGUCAGUAGGUUGGUCGUGCCACCGGUACGUACUGGUCCCACUGAUUCCUCCUUCCUGAAGAACCGUAAUGCCGUUAAUUUGGUGUUGCGGGGAAACAGGACUGUUACUUUGAAAAAAUUAGAGUGUUUAAAGCAAGCUAACGCUUGAAUACAUUAGCAUGGAAUAAUGAAAUAGGACGAUCGAUCCUAUUUUGUUGGUUUCUAGGAUUGACGUA